UCAGUACUUCAUGAUGCCCACAGUUCAAUACCAGCUGACGUUUCACCGUCCAGUAAGGAAACAGGUGGGCAAAAGUUUAGGCCAUAGAAAAUUCCUAUGUACUGUUUAUCAUUGUUAGGCAUGCUUUUCACAUGAAUCCCCUCUAAACGGACCUAGCGAGUCACAGAACGAUUUGUCAUAUUGUUAUAGAGAGGAAAAUAAGCCACACGAUCCCUUUCAUGUCGACGAGGUGGCCGAGAGGUUAAGGCGAUGGACUGCUAAUCCAUUGUGCUCUGCACGCGUGGGUUCGAAUCCCACCUUCGUCGAACAGGCUUUCUUUAGUCAUCAAAUUAAAUGUUGAUCUCAGGUCGAUAUUGCAAUGCUUUCUCUGAGAUGGUAUCACCAUUCUCCAUCACACCUACUUAAAAGAAAAGACUUUCUCUAUGGCAAACGACCCCUAACAACUUUUACGAGUUGGCCAAAAGUUUUAGCAGAAGAUCCCUUCUUCGUUGAAAAGGCUGUCUUUAGUCAUCAAAGUAAAGUUGAACCAUGGUCUGCUCCUGAGGUCAAAGGUGUUAUUCUUGUGCUGAGAUGAUAUUGCAAUUCUCCAUGAAACCUAUCCAAAAGAAGAAAUUUCUAUAUGGCAAACGACACACUAUGCCUUUUCCCAAUUGACUGAACGGUUAGAGGGAUGGACUGUUAACCUGUUGAGCUCCGCACACAUGGGAUUGAAUCCCAUCAUUGUCAAAAAGGCUAUAUUUAGUCACCAAACUAAUGUUGUACCUUGAUCUGCUCCCGAGGUCAAAGGUUCAAUUUCUGUUCUGAGAUGAUAGUUCAAUUCUCCAUGAAACCUACGUAAAAGAAAAAAAUUCAACACGGCAAAAAACUCCUAAUUCUUUUUCCGAGCUGGACGAAAGGUUAGGGAGGUGGACUUCUAAUCCGUUGUGCUCUGGAUGCAUGGGAUCCAAACCCAGCUUCGUCUACGAGGACAUCUUUAAAUAUCACACAAUUGUUGAAGACUGAUGUGCUCUUGAAGUCAAGUGUGCAUUACUGGAUCUCAGUUGCUAUUUCAAUAUUUCAGGACGCCACCUUAUUUAGUGUAAAAAGUUUGGCCGACAUUUCAGUACCAAAUGACACUUCACUGUCCAGUAAAUAAACAGGGCGUCAAAAACGUAGGGCGUCGAAGGUUCCAAUGUACUGUUUGACAUUUGUAGACAUGUGUUUGACAUGAAUCUCUGUUAAACAAACAUAGUUAGCUCUAGAAAGAUUUAUUUUAUUAUCACAGAAAAGUACAAGUGCAGUGCUUGUUCUGAGAUGCUAUGGCAGUACUCCAUGACACGCACUCUACAUAUUGUUAAAAAUAUAUGAAUGACAUUUUAAUGUGUAGUACAGAAACAGGUGGGCAAAAAUUUAGGCCAUAGAAAGUUGCAGUGUACUGUUUCUAAAGGUUAGACAUGUGUUUGCCAUUCAGCCCUCUUAAAUGGACAUAGUUAGCGCUAGAACGCUUAGAUUUGUUCUUAUAGCGAGGAACACGCACCUCUGCUCCCUCGUGUGGACGAGGUGGCCGAGUGGUUAAGGCGAUGGACUGCUAAUCCAUUGUGCUCUGCACGCGUGGGUUCGAAUCCCACCUUCGUCGGAAAGAGCUUCUUUAGUCAUCAAACUAACAGUGAACGUUGACCUCCGGUCAAAAGUGCAAUGUUUGCUCUGAGGUGCUCUUUCCAUUCUACCUGACACUGAUUUGAAAGAAAGAAUUUCUCUACGGCAAACGACAACCAAGACUUCCUCCGAUUUGGCCGAAAGGUCAGGGAGGUGGACUGCGAAUCUGCUUUGCUCUGGAUGUGUGAGAUCCAAUCCUAACUUCAACAACAAAGGCUGUCUUCAAACAUGACACAACUGUUGUACACUGAUGUGCACUUGAGGUCAGACCCGCAAUACCCUUUCUAACAUGCUAUUUCAGUACUUCAUGACGCCCACAGUUCAAUACCAGCUGACGUUUCACCGUCCAGUAAGGAAACAGGUGGGCAAAAGUUUAGGCCAUAGAAAAUUCCUAUGUACUGUUUAUCAUUGUUAGGCAUGCUUUUCACAUGAAUCCCCUCUAAACGGACCUAGCGAGUCACAGAACGAUUUGUCAUAUUGUUAUAGAGAGGAAAAUAAGCCACACGAUCCCUUUCAUGUCGACGAGGUGGCCGAGUGGUUAAGGCGAUGGACUGCUAAUCCAUUGUGCUCUGCACGCGUGGGUUCGAAUCCCACCUUCGUCGGAAAGAGCUUCUUUAGUCAUCAAACUAACAGUGAACGUUGACCUCCGGUCAAAAGUGCAAUGUUUGCUCUGAGGUGCUCUUUCCAUUCUACCUGACACUGAUUUGAAAGAAAGAAUUUCUCUACGGCAAACGACAACCAAGACUUCCUCCGAUUUGGCCGAAAGGUCAGGGAGGUGGACUGCGAAUCUGCUUUGCUCUGGAUGCGUGAGAUCCAAUCCUAACUUCAACAACAAAGGCUGUCUUCAAACAUGACACAACUGAUGUGCACUUGAGGUCAGACCCGCAAUACCCUUUCUAACAUGCUAUUUCAGUACUUCAUGACGCCCACAGUUCAAUACCAGCUGACGUUUCACCGUCCAGUAAGGAAACAGGUGGGCAAAAGUUUAGGCCAUAGAAAAUUCCUAUGUACUGUUUAUCAUUGUUAGGCAUGCUUUUCACAUGAAUCCCCUCUAAACGGACCUAGCGAGUCACAGAACGAUUUGUCAUAUUGUUAUAGAGAGGAAAAUAAGCCACACGAUCCCUUUCAUGUCGACGAGGUGGCCGAGUGGUUAAGGCGAUGGACUGCUAAUCCAUUGUGCUCUGCACGCGUGGGUUCGAAUCCCACCUUCGUCGGAAAGAGCUUCUUUAGUCAUCAAACUAACAGUGAACGUUGACCUCCGGUCAAAAGUGCAAUGUUUGCUCUGAGGUGCUCUUUCCAUUCUACCUGACACUGAUUUGAAAGAAAGAAUUUCUCUACGGCAAACGACAACCAAGACUUCCUCCGAUUUGGCCGAAAGGUCAGGGAGGUGGACUGCGAAUCUGCUUUGCUCUGGAUGCGUGAGAUCCAAUCCUAACUUCAACAACAAAGGCUGUCUUCAAACAUGACACAACUGUUGUACACUGAUGUGCACUUGAGGUCAGACCCGCAAUACCCUUUCUAACAUGCUAUUUCAGUACUUCAUGACGCCCACAGUUCAAUACCAGCUGACGUUUCACCGUCCAGUAAGGAAACAGGUGGGCAAAAGUUUAGGCCAUAGAAAAUUCCUAUGUACUGUUUAUCAUUGUUAGGCAUGCUUUUCACAUGAAUCCCCUCUAAACGGACCUAGCGAGUCACAGAACGAUUUGUCAUAUUGUUAUAGAGAGGAAAAUAAGCCACACGAUCCCUUUCAUGUCGACGAGGUGGCCGAGAGGUUAAGGCGAUGGACUGCUAAUCCAUUGUGCUCUGCACGCGUGGGUUCGAAUCCCACCUUCGUCGAACAGGCUUUCUUUAGUCAUCAAAUUAAAUGUUGAUCUCAGGUCGAUAUUGCAAUGCUUUCUCUGAGAUGGUAUCACAAUUCUCCAUCACACCUACUUAAAAGAAAAAACUUUCUCUAUGGCAAACGACCCCUAACAACUUUUACGAGUUGGCCAAAAGUUUUAGCAGAAGAUCCCUUCUUCGUUGAAAAGGCUGUCUUUAGUCAUCAAAGUAAAGUUGAACCAUGGUCUGCUCCUGAGGUCAAAGGUGUUAUUCUUGUGCUGAGAUGAUAUUGCAAUUCUCCAUGAAACCUAUCCAAAAGAAGAAAUUUCUAUAUGGCAAACGACACACUAUGCCUUUUCCCAAUUGACUGAACGGUUAGAGGGAUGGACUGUUAACCUGUUGAGCUCCGCACACAUGGGAUUGAAUCCCAUCAUUGUCAAAAAGGCUAUAUUUAGUCACCAAACUAAUGUUGUACCUUGAUCUGCUCCCGAGGUCAAAGGUUCAAUUUCUGUUCUGAGAUGAUAGUUCAAUUCUCCAUGAAACCUACGUAAAAGAAAAAAAUUCAACACGGCAAAAAACUCCUAAUUCUUUUUCCGAGCUGGACGAAAGUUUAGGGAGGUGGACUUCUAAUCCGUUGUGCUCUGGAUGCAUGGGAUCCAAACCCAGCUUCGUCUACGAGGACAUCUUUAAAUAUCACACAAUUGUUGAAGACUGAUGUGCUCUUGAAGUCAAGUGUGCAUUACUGGAUCUCAGUUGCUAUUUCAAUAUUUCAGGACGCCACCUUAUUUAGUGUAAAAAGUUUGGCCGACAUUUCAGUACCAAAUGACACUUCACUGUCCAGUAAAUAAACAGGGCGUCAAAAACGUAGGGCGUCGAAGGUUCCAAUGUACUGUUUGACAUUUGUAGACAUGUGUUUGACAUGAAUCUCUGUUAAACAAACAUAGUUAGCUCUAGAAAGAUUUAUUUUAUUAUCACAGAAAAGUACAAGUGCAGUGCUUGUUCUGAGAUGCUAUGGCAGUACUCCAUGACACGCACUCUACAUAUUGUUAAAAAUAUAUGAAUGACAUUUUAAUGUGUAGUACAGAAACAGGUGGGCAAAAAUUUAGGCCAUAGAAAGUUGCAGUGUACUGUUUCUAAAGGUUAGACAUGUGUUUGCCAUUCAGCCCUCUUAAAUGGACAUAGUUAGCGCUAGAACGCUUAGAUUUGUUCUUAUAGCGAGGAACACGCACCUCUGCUCCCUCGUGUGGACGAGGUGGCCGAGUGGUUAAGGCGAUGGACUGCUAAUCCAUUGUGCUCUGCACGCGUGGGUUCGAAUCCCACCUUCGUCGGAAAGAGCUUCUUUAGUCAUCAAACUAACAGUGAACGUUGACCUCCGGUCAAAAGUGCAAUGUUUGCUCUGAGGUGCUCUUUCCAUUCUACCUGACACUGAUUUGAAAGAAAGAAUUUCUCUACGGCAAACGACAACCAAGACUUCCUCCGAUUUGGCCGAAAGGUCAGGGAGGUGGACUGCGAAUCUGCUUUGCUCUGGAUGCGUGAGAUCCAAUCCUAACUUCAACAACAAAGGCUGUCUUCAAACAUGACACAACUGUUGUACACUGAUGUGCACUUGAGGUCAGACCCGCAAUACCCUUUCUAACAUGCUAUUUCAGUACUUCAUGACG